AGCUUAAAGUACGUAUUUUAGGUGAGACCUGCCCAGUGCUAUUAUGUAAACGGCCGCAGUACUUUGACUGUGCUAAGGUAGCAUAAUCAGUUGGCUUUUAAAUGGAGUCGGGAAUGAAUGGAUUAAUGGGGUGUAGCUGUCUCUUUUAUAAUUAUUUGAACUUACUUAUUAGGUGAAAAUGCCUAAUUUUAGAAAAAAGACGAGAAGACCCUAGGAGUUUUUACAAUAUAUUAUUUUUAUAGUAAACGUUUUUGUUGGGGCGACAUAGGAACAUUUAAACUUCCUUUACUUAUUUGCCGACUUAGUAUGAACAUUAAAACUACCCUAGGGAUAACAGCGUAAUUCAUUUAGAGCUUGCGACCUCGAUGUUGGACUAGGAAUUUGGUAGGCUAGCCGCCUAUUUAUAUUGUUCUGUUCGAACUGUUUCUCC
rnacentral:rRNA from 1 species